rnacentral:rRNA from 1 species
AUUGAACGCUGGCGGCAUGCCUUACACAUGCAAGUCGAACGGUAACAGGUCUUCGGACGCUGACGAGUGGCGAACGGGUGAGUAAUACAUCGGAACGUGCCCAGUCGUGGGGGAUAACUACUCGAAAGAGUAGCUAAUACCGCAUACGAUCUGAGGAUGAAAGCGGGGGACCUUCGGGCCUCGCGCGAUUGGAGCGGCCGAUGGCAGAUUAGGUAGUUGGUGGGAUAAAAGCUUACCAAGCCGACGAUCUGUAGCUGGUCUGAGAGGACGACCAGCCACACUGGGACUGAGACACGGCCCAGACUCCUACGGGAGGCAGCAGUGGGGAAUUUUGGACAAUGGGCGAAAGCCUGAUCCAGCAAUGCCGCGUGCAGGAUGAAGGCCUUCGGGUUGUAAACUGCUUUUGUACGGAACGAAAAAGCUUCUCCUAAUACGAGAGGCCCAUGACGGUACCGUAAGAAUAAGCACCGGCUAACUACGUGCCAGCAGCCGCGGUAAUACGUAGGGUGCGAGCGUUAAUCGGAAUUACUGGGCGUAAAGCGUGCGCAGGCGGUUAUGUAAGACAGAUGUGAAAUCCCCGGGCUCAACCUGGGAACUGCAUUUGUGACUGCAUGGCUAGAGUACGGUAGAGGGGGAUGGAAUUCCGCGUGUAGCAGUGAAAUGCGUAGAUAUGCGGAGGAACACCGAUGGCGAAGGCAAUCCCCUGGACCUGUACUGACGCUCAUGCACGAAAGCGUGGGGAGCAAACAGG